GUGGGGAAUAUUGGACAAUGGGCGCAAGCCUGAUCCAGCCAUGCCGCGUGAGUGAUGAAGGCCUUAGGGUUGUAAAGCUCUUUUGUCCGGGAAGAUAAUGACUGUACCGGAAGAAUAAGCCCCGGCUAACUUCGUGCCAGCAGCCGCGGUAAUACGAAGGGGGCUAGCGUUGUUCGGAAUCACUGGGCGUAAAGCGCACGUAGGCGGACCAUUAAGUCAGGGGUGAAAGCCUGGAGCUCAACUCCAGAACUGCCUUUGAUACUGAUGGUCUCGAGUAUGGAAGAGGUUGGUGGAACUGCGAGUGUAGAGGUGAAAUUCGUAGAUAUUCGGAGGAACACCAGUGGCGAAGGCGGCUUACUGGUCCAUUACUGACGCUGAGGUGCGAAAGCGUGGGGAGCAAACAGGAUUAGAUACCCGUGUAGUCC
rnacentral:rRNA from 1 species